rnacentral:rRNA from 1 species
AACGAACGCUGGCGGCAUGCCUAACACAUGCAAGUCGAACGAGACCUUCGGGUCUAGUGGCGCACGGGUGCGUAACGCGUGGGAACCUGCCCUUAGGUUCGGAAUAACUCCCCGAAAGGGGUGCUAAUACCGGAUAAUGUCUUCGGACCAAAGAUUUAUCGCCUUUGGAUGGGCCCGCGUUGGAUUAGCUAGUUGGUAGCGUAAAAGCCUACCAAGGCGACGAUCCAUAGCUUGUCUGAGAGGAUGCUCAGCCACACUGGGACUGAGACACGGCCCAGACUUCUGCGGGAGGCAGCAGUGGGUAAUAUUGGACUAUGGGCGAAAGCCUGAUCCAGCACUGCCGCGUGAGUGAUGAAGGCCGUAGGGUUGUUAAGCUCUUUUACACGGGAUGAUAAUGACAGUACCGUGAGAAUAAGCUCCGGCUAACUCCGUG